GAUGAACGCUGGCGGCGUGCCUAAUACAUGCAAGUCGAGCGAACUGAUUAGAAGCUUGCUUCUAUGACGUUAGCGGCGGACGGGUGAGUAACACGUGGGCAACCUGCCUGUAAGACUGGGAUAACUUCGGGAAACCGAAGCUAAUACCGGAUAGGAUCUUCUCCUUCAUGGGAGAUGAUUGAAAGAUGGUUUCGGCUAUCACUUACAGAUGGGCACGCGUUGCAUUAGCGAGUUGGUGAGGUAACGGCUCACCAAGGCAACGAUGCAUAGCCGACCUGAGAGGGUGAUCGGCCACACUGGGACUGAGACACGGCCCAGACUCCUACGGGAGGCAGCAGUAGGGAAUCUUCCGCAAUGGACGAAAGUCUGACGGAGCAACGCCGCGUGAGUGAUGAAGGCUUUCGGGUCGUAAAACUCUGUUGUUAGGGAAGAACAAGUACGAGAGUAACUGCUCGUACCUUGACGGUACCUAACCAGAAAGCCACGGCUAACUACGUGCCAGCAGCCGCGGUAACAC
rnacentral:rRNA from 1 species